GCUGACACGAUCCUCUUCAGCGCCUGUCGCUGGAGACCUUGGGCCUCUGGAUGCACGUGGGGGGCUUUGGGCUUUCGGCUGCUGUCCAAGGCCUGACCCUGCCCUUUGCACCCCGCGUGGGGCCGCUCGCCUGGGCCUGUGCGCCGGCUCUCACUUGUGCAUCCAGCUGGCCCGUGCUGCGGUGUCUCCUCCGGUCUCUGGCU
rnacentral:precursor_RNA from 1 species